AAAUUGAAGAGUUUGAUCAUGGCUCAGAUUGAACGCUGGCGGCAGGCCUAACACAUGCAAGUCGAGCGGUAGCACAGAGAGCUUGCUCUCGGGUGACGAGCGGCGGACGGGUGAGUAAUGUCUGGGAAACUGCCUGAUGGAGGGGGAUAACUACUGGAAACGGUGGCUAAUACCGCAUAAUGUCGCAAGACCAAAGUGGGGGACCUUCGGGCCUCAUGCCAUCAGAUGUGCCCAGAUGGGAUUAGCUAGUAGGUGGGGUAACGGCUCACCUAGGCGACGAUCCCUAGCUGGUCUGAGAGGAUGACCAGCCACACUGGAACUGAGACACGGUCCAGACUCCUACGGGAGGCAGCAGUGGGGAAUAUUGCACAAUGGGCGCAAGCCUGAUGCAGCCAUGCCGCGUGUGUGAAGAAGGCCUUCGGGUUGUAAAGCACUUUCAGCGGGGAGGAAGGCGUUAAGGUUAAUAACCUUGGCGAUUGACGUUACCCGCAGAAGAAGCACCGGCUAACUCCGUGCCAGCAGCCGCGGUAAUACGGAGGGUGCAAGCGUUAAUCGGAAUUACUGGGCGUAAAGCGCACGCAGGCGGUCUGUCAAGUCGGAUGUGAAAUCCCCGGGCUCAACCUGGGAACUGCAUUCGAAACUGGCAGGCUAGAGUCUUGUAGAGGGGGGUAGAAUUCCAGGUGUAGCGGUGAAAUGCGUAGAGAUCUGGAGGAAUACCGGUGGCGAAGGCGCCCCCGACAAAGACUGACGCUCAGGUGCGAAAGCGUGGGGAGCAAACAGGAUUAGAUACCACGGUAGUCCACGCCGUAAACGAUGUCGAUUUGGAGGUUGUGCCCUUGAGGCGUGGCUUCCGGAGCUAACGCGUUAAAUCGACCGCCUGGGGAGUACGGCCGCAAGGUUAAAACUCAAAUGAAUUGACGGGGGCCCGCACAAGCGGUGGAGCAUGUGGUUUAAUUCGAUGCAACGCGAAGAACCUUACCUGGUCUUGACAUCCACAGAACUUUCCAGAGAUGGAUUGGUGCCUUCGGGAACUGUGAGACAGGUGCUGCAUGGCUGUCGUCAGCUCGUGUUGUGAAAUGUUGGGUUAAGUCCCGCAACGAGCGCAACCCUUAUCCUUUGUUGCCAGCGGUUAGGCCGGGAACUCAAAGGAGACUGCCAGUGAUAAACUGGAGGAAGGUGGGGAUGACGUCAAGUCAUCAUGGCCCUUACGACCGGGCUACACGUGCUACAAUGGCAUAUACAAAGAGAAGCGACCUCGCGAGAGCAAGCGGACCUCAUAAAGUAUGUCGUAGUCCGGAUUGGAGUCUGCAACUCGACUCCAUGAAGUCGGAAUCGCUAGUAAUCGUAGAUCAGAAUGCUACGGUGAAUACGUUCCCGGGCCUUGUACACACCGCCCGUCACACCAUGGGAGUGGGUUGCAAAAGAAGUAGGUAGCUUAACCUUCGGGAGGGCGCUUACCACUUUGUGAUUCAUGACUGGGGUGAAGUCGUAACAAGGUAACCGUAGGGGAACCUGCGGUUGGAUCACCUCCUUACCUUAAAGAA
rnacentral:rRNA from 1 species